CCUACGGGAGGCAGCAGUGAGGAAUAUUGGUCAAUGGACGAGAGUCUGAACCAGCCAAGUAGCGUGAAGGAUGACUGCCCUAUGGGUUGUAAACUUCUUUUAUAUGGGAAUAAAACGUUCCACGUGUGGGAUUUUGUAUGUACCAUAUGAAUAAGGAUCGGCUAACUCCGUGCCAGCAGCCGCGGUAACACGGAGGAUCCGAGCGUUAUCCGGAUUUAUUGGGUUUAAAGGGAGCGUAGGUGGAUUGUUAAGUCAGUUGUGAAAGUUUGCGGCUCAACCGUAAAAUUGCAGUUGAAACUGGCAGUCUUGAGUACAGUAGAGGUGGGCGGAAUUCGUGGUGUAGCGGUGAAAUGCUUAGAUAUCACGAAGAACUCCGAUUGCGAAGGCAGUUCACUGGACUGCAACUGACACUGAGGCUCGAAAGUGUGGGUAUCAAACAGGAUUAGAUACCCCUGUAGUC
rnacentral:rRNA from 1 species